rnacentral:rRNA from 1 species
GUGCCAGCAGCCGCGGUAAGACGGAGGAGGCAAGCGUUGUCCGGAAUUAUUGGGCGUAAAGAGCGCGUAGGCUGUUUUUCAAGUCAUAUGUGAAAACCUCAGGCUUAACUUGAGGAUUGCAUGUGAAACUGGAAAACUUGAGUGCAGUAGGGGAAAGUGGAAUUCCUGGUGUAGUGGUGGAAUACGCAGAUAUCAGGAAGAACACCAGUAGCGAAGGCGGCUUUCUGGGCUGCUACUGACGCUGAGGCGCGAAAGCUAGGGGAGCAAACAGGAUUAGAUACCCUGGUAGUCCUAGCCGUAAACGAUGGACACUAGGUGUGGGGAGUUAUCGACGCUUUCCGUGCCGAAGUUAACGCAUUAAGUGUCCCGCCUGGGGAGUACGGCCGCAAGGCUAAAACUCAAAGGAAUUGACGGGGGCCCGCACAAGCGGCGGAGCAUGUGGCUUAAUUCGACGCAACGCGAAGAACCUUACCAAGGCUUGACAUCAUAUUGACGGUUAUAGAGAUAUAACUUCUCUUCGGAGCAAUAUGACAGGUGGUGCAUGGCUGUCGUCAGCUCGUGUCGUGAGAUGUUGGGUUAAGUCCCGCAACGAGCGCAACCCUUGUCCCAUGUUGCUAACAGUUCGGCUGAGCACUCUUGGGAUACUGCCGGCGUAAAGCCGGAGGAAGGUGGGGACGACGUCAAGUCAUCAUGCCCUUUAUGUCUUGGGCCGCACACGUGCUACAAUGGACCGUACAAAGAGCAGCGAUACCGCGAGGUGGAGCAAAUCUCUUAAAGCGGUUCAAAGUCCGGAUUGAAGGCUGAAAUUCGCCUUCAUGAAGUCGGAGUCGCUAGUAAUCGUGGAUCAGAAUGCCACGGUGAAUACGUUCCCGGGCCUUGUACACACCGCCCGUCACACCACGAAAGUUGGAAACACCCAAAGAUAGCAUACUAACCGGCAACGGGGGAAACUAUUUAAGGUGGAGCCAGUGAUUGGGGUGAAGUCGUAACAAGGUAACC